rnacentral:lncRNA from 1 species
UUGCAACUCUUACAUUUUUCACUUUAAAUUUUAAUCAGAAAAUAUCGAAGAAUCAAUAGCUAAACUUUGAAAGGUUCCGAAAGCAAACCUGAUUAUAAGUUAGUGAAUUAAUGAUUUAAUAUGUUACUGAAUAAUCAAUAAUUGCUAUCAGAUGUUCUGAAUCGCUCUUACUAAAUAUGUUUUGGGAAUUUUGUGAUUACAUGAUGAAGUUUCAGGCAGGCAUGCUGAACUGAAGAAGACAUCAGCAGUGUCACAGACAGUGGAUUGAGUGCAGCCUCAGCAGGUUUUGCAGAUGACACCAAGCUGAGUUGUGUGGGUGACACUCCUGAAGGAUGGGAUGCCAUCCAGAGGGACCUGGACAAGCCCAAGCAGUGGCCCAUGGGAAUCUCAUGAGGUUUAACAGAUCAAGUCCAAGCUGCUGCAGCUGGGACAGGACAACCCUUGGUACCAAUCCAGGCUGGACAUGAGCAGCCCCAGAGCAGCCCUGGGAGAAGGACUUGGGGGUGCUGGUGAUGAGAGGCUGGACAUGGCCCGGCCGUGUGCGCUGGGAGCCCAGGAACCCCCCGUGUGCUGGGCUGCAUCCAGAGCCCCGUGGGCAGCAGGGCAGGGAGGGGAUUCUGCCCCUCUGCCCCUCUCUGCUCAGACCCCACCUGCAGGGCUGCAUCCAGCCCUGGGCUCCCAGCACAGGAAGGACAGGGAGCUGCUGGAGCCGGCCCAGAGGAGACACCAAGGUGAUCAGAGGGAUGGAACAGCUCUGCUGUGAGGAAAGGCUGAGAGAAUUGGGGCUGUUCAGCCUGGAAGAAAGAAGGCUUUGGGGUGACUGAAUUGCAGCCUUCCAGCACCUGAAGAGAGCCCACAGGAAAGAUGGAGAGAGACUAUUUACAGGGCCCUGGGGUGACAGGACAAGGGGGAAUGGGUUCAAACUGACAGAGAGUAGGUUUAGGUCAGAUAUUAGGCAGAAAUUCCUUACUGUGAGGUUCGUGAGGCAUUGGCACAGGAAAAGCUGUGGCUGCCCUGUCCCUGUGAGUGUUCAAGGCCAGUUUGGAUGGGGCUCUGAGCAACCUGGUCUAGUGGAAAGUGCCCCUGCCCAUGGCAGGUCCCUUGGAACUCAAACCCUUCUAAGGUUCUAUGAUUCCCUGAUUUUCAGAAGCCCCUAUUCUGAUGUCACAAGGAUCUGUGCUCCAACAGUGGAUUUGCCACCUCAGUUGAGCCAUGGCUGCCUCCAAGCUGACCCAUGUCCUAGGUUAUCUGUCCAGCUCUGGGUGGGAGCUCAUGGCUUUUCACCUUCUGUGCACAAAGGCGGUGUCUGGCAGCUUGGAGUGAGGAGCAGGAUUGCUUUGGCCCAGCGAGGGCAGCACUGGAAACCUGUGUGUGCAUCCAAUAAUGCAAUGGCUGGAAGACAAGGAAGUGGCAGAGUAGCUGGGUGGAUGCAGUGGAUAUUGGCAAUAAUUCUGAUGCUGUGGGGUCACCAGAUCAGUGGACAAGGACAAGCAAGUAAAGCAAAACCCAAGAACUGAUGUGGAAGGAACUCUGAUUCACUGCCCUGGCUUAAUGAAACUUUUACACUAGACCAAUUAGAAAGAAGUAAGUGGUUUUUAUUUUAUGCUGAACUUUACGGUUUAACAGUCA